CCUGCCUCUGGAGGCCUUGCAGGUGUGGGUGCUAUGUCACAUGUACGUCAGUAGGUGGCAGAGAAGAGAGGCUAUGUCCACGGUUAGUGUUCUGGCCAGUGAACACCUGAAUGAUUAGUAGUCUAACAUU